rnacentral:rRNA from 1 species
AGUGAACGCUGGCGGUAGGCCUAACACAUGCAAGUCGAACGGCAGCACAGUAAGAGCUUGCUCUUACGGGUGGCGAGUGGCGGACGGGUGAGGAAUACAUCGGAAUCUACUUUUUCGUGGGGGAUAACGUAGGGAACUUUCGCUAAUACCGCAUACGACCUACGGGUGAAAGCAGGGGGUCUUCGGACCUUGCGCGGUUCAAUGGGCCGAUGUCGGAUUAGCUAGUUGGCGGGGUAAAGGCCCACCAAGGCGACGAUCCGUAGCUGGUCUGAGAGGAUGAUCAGCCACACUGGAACUGAGACACGGUCCAGACUCCUACGGGAGGCAGCAGUGGGGAAUAUUGGACAAUGGGCGCAAGCCUGAUCCAGCCAUACCGCGUGGGUGAAGAAGGCCUUCGGGUUGUAAAGCCCUUUUGUUGGGAAAGAAAAGCAGCAGGUUAAUACCCCGCUGUUCUGACGGUACCCAAAGAAUAAGCACCGGCUAACUUCGUG